GCUUCACCACCUGUGAAGCGACCCCCCUGUAGGUCGGGAACUGGGGGCUCGAACUGAGAUCCUUGCAUGAUCCUCCACAGCUCCUUACAUUCCAGCCCUCACAGCCCCCCAGUAAGAACCGUCUGUGUGUGUGUGUGUGUAUGUUUGUGUGUGCAGUGGGUGAGCUGUGUCUGCUAGAGUCUGUGCAUGUGCAUAGCUGGAGAGAGGGCCUAGGGUCUGUGCAUGUGCAGAGCUGGAGAGAGGGCCUAGGGCCUGCGCAUGUGCACAGCUGGAGAGUGGGCCUAGGGUCUGCGCAUGUGCAGAGCUGGAGAGUGGGCUUAGGGUCUGCGCAUGUGCACAGCUGGAGAGUGGGCCUAGGGUCUGCACAUGUGCAGAGCUGGAGAGAGGGCCUAGGGUCUGCGCAUGUGCACAGCUGGAGAGUGGGCCUAGGGUCUGCGCAUGUGCACAGCUGGAGAGUGGGCCUAGGGUCUGCGCAUGUGCACAGCUGGAGAGUGGGCCUAGGGUCUGCGCAUGUGCACAGCUGGAGAGUGGGCCUAGGGUCUGCGCAUGUGCACAGCUGGAGAGCAUUCUCCCAGCCUCAUUUUUUCUUUUUCUUUUUUAUUCCUUAUUGAGAGGACAGACACCCCUCCACACCCCUCCACCAGCCAGAGUUCCCCUGAUCCACCCAUGGUCCUCCCAUAGGGUGCUGGGGUUCGGGCCCAGGCCUCUAGCACGCAAGGCGCGCGUGCUGUCCAGUGAGCGGACGCCCGAGUCCUCUAUUCACUCCACUUAGCCUGGCGCCGGGCAGAGAGCUGCCUCCUCUGGUGUGAGCUGGCAGGAAAGGUCUCUCCCCAUCCGACUACGCGCUUCUCUCCUGGCUGCUGUGGCUUCUGGGCUUCCCUCCAAACAGCCUCAAGCCCAAGGCAGAAGACCUAUCUGCAUUUGAGCCCUCACACCCCUCAGCCGCAGGGACCAGAGCCAGCCCCCAGAACACUACAGCAGCCACCGGCAAGGGCACCUGCUCAUUUGCGGACAGGGGCUCCCC